UACGAAGGGGGCUAGCGUUGCUCGGACUCACUGGGCGUAAAGAGCUCGUAGGCGGCUCGGUAAGUCAGGUGUCAAGUCCUCAGGCUCAACCUGGGGCUCCACCUGAUACUGCUGUGGCUAGAGUCCGGUAGGGGAGCGUGGAAUUCCUGGUGUAGCGGUGAAAUGCGCAGAUAUCAGGAGGAACACCAGCGGCGAAGGCGGCGCUCUGGGCCGGAACUGACGCUGAGGAGCGAAAGCGUGGGUAGCAAACAGG
rnacentral:rRNA from 1 species